AAUGAACGCUGGCGGCGCGCCUAAUACAUGCAAGUCGAGCGAGAAGACGUAGCAAUACGUUUGUAAAGCGGCGAACGGGUGAGGAAUACAUGGGUAACCUACCCUCGAGUGGGGAAUAACUAGCCGAAAGGUUAGCUAAUACCGCGUACGCCCCUUGGACUUCGGUUCAGGGAGGAAAGACGAUACCGUGGGUAUCGCGCUCUUGGAUGGGCGUCAUGUCCUAUCAGCUUGUUGGCGAGGUAACGGCUCACCAAGGCUUCGACGGGUAGCUGGUCUGAGAGGACGAUCAGCCACACUGGCACUGCGACACGGGCCAGACUCCUACGGGAGGCAGCAGUAAGGAAUAUUGCGCAAUGGGCGAAAGCCUGACGCAGCGACGCCGCGUGGGGGAGUGAA
rnacentral:rRNA from 1 species